CGGAUAUACCGCUCUGUCGCUUUCGGGAAGCCGGAAGAGGAAAGUCCGGACAACGUAGGGUACCACACCGUCUAACGGGCGGGAUCGUAUUUAUGUACGGUACAGCUUAGUGUCACAGAAAAUAACCGCCUUGAUUUCGGUCAGGGUAAGGGUGAAAAUGAGAGGUAAGAGCUCUCGUGGUGGUGCAGUGAUGUAUCAUCAGGACAAACCUUGUGGGUUGAAAUGCCAUGUAUAUUUUGAUUCCCUUUGGGGACAAAACUGACUCGGUUUUGUUGUCGUAAGACAUAUCAGGAGGGGUAGGCAGCUUAGAUAAAUGACAGAGAGCUCAUCUUUUGGUGAGUUACAGAAUCCGGCUUACAGGUAUAUCUUUUUA
rnacentral:RNase_P_RNA from 1 species